AAAUCAAAAAAAAAAGAGAAAAAAAAGAAUGAUGAAUGUUAUUUUCUUAUCCUUUGUAGUAUCAUCGUCAUU
rnacentral:ribozyme from 1 species